GCUCACUUCAGCAACACUUACACUAAAAUUGGAACAAUACACAGAAAACAACAUGGCUCCUGUGCACAAGUGGUGUGCACAUUUGUGGGGUUUUGCAUUUUUUU
rnacentral:snRNA from 1 species